UACGAAGGGGGCUAGCGUUGCUCGGAAUCACUGGGCGUAAAGGGUGCGUAGGCGGGUUUUUAAGUCAGAGGUGAAAUCCUGGAGCUCAACUCCAGAACUGCCUUUGAUACUGGGAAUCUUGAGUAUGGAAGAGGUGAGUGGAACUGCGAGUGUAGAGGUGAAAUUCGUAGAUAUUCGCAAGAACACCAGUGGCGAAGGCGGCUCACUGGCCCGAUACUGACGCUGAGGUGCGAAAGCGUGGGGAGCAAACAGG
rnacentral:rRNA from 1 species